UACGUAGGGUGCAAGCGUUGUUCGGAAUUACUGGGCGUAAAGCGCACGUAGGCGGCUUUGUAAGUUAGAGGUGAAAGCCCCGGGCUCAACCUGGGAAUUGCAUUCGAGACUGAAUAGCUAGGGUACGGUAGAGGGAAGUGGAAUUUCCGGUGUAGCGGUGAAAUGCGUAGAUAUCGGAAGGAACAUCAGUGGCGAAAGCGACUUCCUGGACCAGUACCGACGUUCAGGCACGAAAGCGUGGGGAGCAAACAGG
rnacentral:rRNA from 1 species